AAAUCCAGAAGAAACUGGGAAAAAAAAUCCAAUCUCGAGCACCAAUAACCAGAAGAUUUCAGGAGAACUGAGGACAACUCGGAAGCGCUGAUGGUUGAGCGCGUGCGCCAUGGUUAGAUGCAAAGAAAUCCGAAGCAUCGCGGACUUUCUCUCCGGAGAAUCUCAGACGAAGAAGGACGUUUGGGAAAUGCCAUCGGGUCUUCGUACGGGACUUGUCGGAAGUUCUCGCUCGGCUGUGACACGGGUGUUUUUAGCGCCGUUAGCGCCGCAUCACCAACGAGACCGACCACCGCCGCCGACCGGACGAAGGUCUCCCUGAGACGGCCUUUCAUACUUAAGGGGGUCGGAACCGGAGGGACCGCGGCAGAGCGGCAGCCUGCGCCUCGGCGGGCUAACGGCUAACUCGGCUAAGGCUCCUGCACACCGGCGGAUCUCAGCCUCCAUCCACAGAGAUGCUUCACUGUGAGGUCACCGUGCUUCAGCUUGACCCUCAGCUCUUCAUUGUCAUGAUGGAUCCACGCAGUGCACGAGGAAAGAAGCAUUGAAACACAUAAACCAGGUAACCAACAUUUAUUUACCAUUAUGAACUUUACAAUAAAACCAGUAACAUCUGUCAACAUUAGCAAAAUAAAGAACAGAAAUCAAUCCAACGUAUUUACAGAGACAAAGCAGAUUCAGGCUCACACAAGACACAUAAACAACUCUGCUUCAUAUCAAACCGCAACAGUGAACAUAGCAAGCUUAAGUGUUCUUUUUUUCAGAGUAAGGUAAAAAUCAAAAUCCUCUUUUUUUGUAUUUUAACAAACGAGACAGCUUGUCUGAAUCUUUUAAGAUGGUUCUCUAUAAUACACCACAAAAUACUUUAUAUUUGGGUUAAAAUAUAGGAAUGUAAAAAGUUGGCAAGUCUCUUUACUUUCUGAUUUUUUUUUCUUCAUUUAGCAGUCAUUUCAGGAGGAGGUGGUGUCCCAGUCCCAUCAUUCCUUUGAAGGAGGCAUCUAAAAUCAGCUGCUUCAGGGAGGAGUUGUUUGAACUCCACCCCGCUUCACCUCGUGGUGUGGUUAGAAUCCACACGGCGACCGUCCCACCGCCUGCAACCCGUCCGGAGGUCGAGCCGGAACCAGGGAAGUGAUCGAGUGAGUCCAGUCUGUCGUCUGGAAUCAUGACGAAAAAGUGGCACGGAGUCUUCCACAUACAUGUGUAUAUAUUUACAUAUACAUAUAUCCAUAUACAUAUGUAUACAUAUACACAUAUAUAUAUAAAUAUAUAUAUAUACUCUUA